AUACCCAGUAACUGGACGGAGAUUGUAAUUUGUAGAAGGUGCUUCGGGCGUGACCCCGGUCCAAGUCCCUUGGAAUAGGGCGUCCCAGAGGGUGAGAAUCCCGUAUCGGCCGAUGGUCAGGCCCGCGUGAAGCCCUUUCGACGAGUCGAGUUGUUUGGGAAUGCAGCUCUAAAUGGGUGGUAAAUUUCAUCUAAAGCUAAAUAUCUGCCGGAGACCGAUAGCGCACAAGUAGAGUGAUCGAAAGAUGAAAAGCACUUUGAAAAGAGAGUCAAACAGUACGUGAAAUUGUUGAAAGGGAAGCGCUUGCAACCAGACUCGCUCGCGGGUGCUCAGCCGUCCCUCGGGGCGGUGCAUUCUCCCACGAUCGGGCCAGCAUCGGUUCUGACGGCUGGAUAAAGGCCCCGGGAACGUAACUCUCUUCGGGGAGUGUUAUAGCCCGGGGUGCAAUGCGGCCAGUCGGGACCGAGGACCGCGCAUUCGCUAGGAUGCUGGCGUAAUGGUUGCCAGCGACCCGUCUUGAAACACGGACCAAGGAGUCGACCAACCGUGCGAGUGUUUGGGCAUUAAACCCGGACGCGCAAUGAAAGUGAACGGAGGUGGGAGCCCUCGGGUGCACCAUCGACCGAUCCUGAUGUUUUCGGAUGGAUUUGAGUAUGAGCCCGGCUGGUCGGACCCGAAAGGUACGUCCUAACAUUUAAAUUGUGUCGAACAAUAGGCUAACUUUUUCCUUUUUUAGAUGGUGAACUAUGCGUGAAUAGGGUGAAGCCAGAGGAAACUCUGGUGGAGGCUCGCAGCGGUUCUGACGUGCAAAUCGAUCGUCAAAUUUGCGCAUAGGGGCGAAAGACCAAUCGAACCAUCUAGUAGCUGGUUCCCGUCGAAGUUUCCCUCAGGAUAGCAGCAACGGAAACAGUCUCAUGAGGUAGAGCAAACGAUUAGAGGUCUUGGGGUUGCAAUCGACCUUAACCUAUUCUCGAACUUCGAAUAUGUGAGAAGUCCUUGUUACUUAGUUGAACGUGGACACUUGGAGGAUCGUGCAGG
rnacentral:rRNA from 1 species